UAGAACAUAAAUAUUCCAAAAGAAGAGAAACUUUAAAGGCAAGUUAAGAUCCAAUGAAGCUUCUUGACCUCUCUCUGCUCUUCUUCUUCUUCAUCUUGUUCCCAUGCUCUAAAAGCUGUAACUCAAAUGACAAAACUACUCUCCUCAAGAUCAAGAAAUCAUUAAACAACCCUCAAAUCCUCAAUUCUUGGGACCCUCAAACCAACUGCUGCACCAACUGGACCGGUGUCGUUUGCACCCACCGACGCAUCACCGGCCUCACUAUAGCUGCCGGAGACGUCGUUGGUCAGAUAGCCGAGGAGAUCGGAGACCUCACAGACCUCGUUAUCCUAGACUGGAGCAGCCUCUCUCAACUCAGAGGCACCAUUCCACGCUCUAUCACCAAGCUCAAGAAUCUAGUCUACCUUCGGUUUAGGAUAACCCAACUCUCUGGUCCAGUCCCGAAAUACAUCAGCGAGCUUCAGAACGUUACUUUCUUGGACCUCUCUUUUAACCGGUUCAACGGUUCAAUACCCGGUUCGAUUUCUCAGAUGCCUAAACUUGAGACCAUACAGCUCAGUCAUAACAAGUUAACCGGUUCUAUACCGGAAUCUUUCGGUUCCUUUCUUGGAAAGUUCCCAAAACUCUAUUUGGGUAAUAAUCACCUCUCAGGAGAAAUACCAAAGUCGUUAUCCAAAACCGAUUUCAACACCGUGAGUUUAUCAGGAAACAAUUUUAGUGGGGAUGCUUCCAUGUUCUUUGGACAUAACAAAACAACCGUGAGACUGGACUUGUCUAGAAACAACUUCCACUUCGAUCUCUCAAAAGUGAAGUUCGCCAAGAGCUUGGUGUCAUUGGACCUUAGCCAUAACCGUGUUUUCGGAGAGCUUCCUUUGGAACUGACCAAGCUCCAACUUACCCAUUUUAACCUAAGUUUCAACCGUCUCUGUGGGUCCAUCCCACAGGGAGGUCUGCUCCAGAAUUUUGAGGUUUAUGAGUUCUCCAACAACCUCUGUCUAUGCGGUGCGCCGCUCAAGCGUUGCUAGCCAAUCGAUCAAACACAUUUUGAAAAUGAAGCUGCUCUUGUGAAAACAAGAGAACUGAAGGAUCUAUGUGAGACAAGUCUCUUUUCCAUCUUUGACGGCAGACCCUUGAAUAUAAGAGGAGAGAUCACUACUUUGUUUAACGCUGGUGUUUCUGUUUAGUUAAGCAUCUUUUGGAUUUUCCUUGGACAUUGAUGCUAUACCUGAGAACAAGCUCAUGUGAAACCCUCUAGCUAAAUGUGUUGAGGGUUGACUAAUUAUAGAGAUAUAUUCAGCAUAUCUGCUCAUGGGGGAAAACACAGAGUAAAGAGAGAUUUGAAGUUACUGCUCUACAAAACUUGUCAUUCAUCAAAAGGUUAGAAACCACAUCUUGAUAAACUUUCUUCUUCUAUAUACUCACAAAGUAG